AGGAUCUCCAGCUGAAGCGGUGCUUGCUGUAUGCACUAUUGAGGUAACCUUGCUCAGCUCUGCCCUUUGCAGUGCACGUGAACUUUCCACUUUGAAAUGUUUUUAUCUCCAUAAUGGGUAAGAAGGGAUGUAUUUAUUUUUACCUGUUUCGAAAGGGAUAAAAACUGAGUAGGUCUGGGGCUUGAGUUCAUAUCUCGGGUGCCAACACUUAGACAUGCUGAUGUGUGCAAGUGAGACUGGAUUUUAUUAUCUUGUGUUAAAGGCUCUGACACGCUUCUAUCUUUCGAACACUACAUGCUAAGUGUGCUCAGAUGUGAGAUGUUUUAGGCUAACAAAAUGCUAAUGUAAGACUAGUUAUAAGCCUCUCUCAAUGUGAAACUCCAUGAAUUCAUUCAAAUUGUUUUCCAAUGUCUUUUAAUGCCUUGACUGAAACUUUUGUUUGGAGAUAUUACUGCACGUUGCUGUUGCAUUUUUAGUAACCCUGUUAAGCAGAGGGAAUAUUGGCUGUUCUAUACGGACUCAAGUGGAUCGAUAACAGAUGCAUGUGACAUGCUGGAAAACCACUUACAGACCAAUAGGCAAGGUCACUCCAUGUCAUUGCUGCAGCAUGUCACAGAACAGCGGAGCCAGCUCUCCUGCCCAUGUUCUUCCAACCAAGAGAAACUCAAACUCCUCCUCACUGGUCUAUGCAUACCCAUCCUUCGGAAGAGCAGGAGAACUUGGAGGGAGGACCUGGUUACUAUGGCUAUGUGCAUUGCUCACUCUGCAUGGAGAAAUCAAGCCAAUGAUAGCUGUGCACAUUAACAUUAUUUGUACAGGAAGGUAGCUCACUGCUGGCGGCUGUGUGAAGCUGCUGAGCUAAAAUCCAGCUUUGUUCAUGCCAGUCAGUAACUUGAAGGUUUUUGUGCAUUUUAAAACAAUGUAUGAUGAAAGCUGCAAAACUUUGAGUCCUUUGUCCUCCUGAAGACUCUUUUUGUUCCCCAAAAUGUGAGCUCAGCUUCCUUGCCUCUGUACCACUACUGAUAUUCUCACUGAGGAGGAAAUGUCAUGUCAUGACUUUGGACUGGUUGGCCAAAUGGGCCCUGGUAUACAGAAUCAUAGAAUCAUAGAAUUGGGUUGAAAAGGACCACAGUGAUCAUCUAGUUUCACCUCCCCUUCUAUG
ensembl:lncRNA